rnacentral:lncRNA from 1 species
GGAAAAACCUGGAAAAUAUACGUACCAAAUUGUAAAACUUUUAGAGAUGUGAUUGGAUAGACUGAAAAGGGACUUUUGCUUUAUAAAAUUUUUAAAGUGUGAUUUGGGCUGAUUUUUACUUUUUUCAGUUUUUUAAUAAAGAAAAAUUUAAUACUCUGCCAAUGAUUUGCAUUUCAGAAUAUUUGUCAGGCCUGCUCUGAGGAUAUCAUCUAACUAUACUCAGGAAAAACAUCUAUUCCUUUGAUAAACUGCUCACUUUGGAUUAACUCUAAUUUUAAAUAUAGUUUAAAGGACAAGAAGUAAGUUAUCCUGGUAUAACCUUUUGCACAUGUUACCUAGGAGCAUACUUCUAAGGUGGACUUUGCAGAAGAAACUUCUUCCUGUUGUAUAAAAUCUCACCGCUGCCCUUUACUAGAC